UACAGAGGGUGCGAGCGUUAAUCGGAAUUACUGGGCGUAAAGCGUGCGUAGACGGUUAUUUAAGUCGGAUGUGAAAGCCCCGGGCUCAACCUGGGAAUUGCAUUCGAGACUGUGUAGCUAGGGUGCGGAAGAGGGAAGCGGAAUUUCCGGUGUAGCGGUGAAAUGCGUAGAUAUCGGAAGGAACACCAGUGGCGAAAGCGGCUUCCUGGUCCAGCACCGACGUUCAGGCACGAAAGCGUGGGGAGCAAACAGG
rnacentral:rRNA from 1 species